GAUGAACGCUGGCGGCGUGCCUAAUACAUGCAAGUCGAGCGAACAGACGAGGAGCUUGCUCCUCUGACGUUAGCGGCGGACGGGUGAGUAACACGUGGAUAACCUACCUAUAAGACUGGGAUAACUUCGGGAAACCGGAGCUAAUACCGGAUAAUAUAUUGAACCGCAUGGUUCAAUAGUGAAAGACGGUUUUGCUGUCACUUAUAGAUGGAUCCGCGCCGCAUUAGCUAGUUGGUAAGGUAACGGCUUACCAAGGCAACGAUGCGUAGCCGACCUGAGAGGGUGAUCGGCCACACGGGAACUGAGACACGGUCCAGACUCCUACGGGAGGCAGCAGUAGGGAAUAUUCCGCAAUGGGCGAAAGCUUGACGGAGCAACGCCGCGUGAGUGAUGAAGGUCUUCGGAUCGUAAAACUCUGUUAUUAGGGAAGAACAAAUGUGUAAGUAACUAUGCACGUCUUGACGGUACCUAAUCAGAAAGCCACGGCUAACUACGUG
rnacentral:rRNA from 1 species